UUACUUACUCCGUGAAUCGGAGG
rnacentral:snRNA from 1 species